rnacentral:tRNA from 1 species
GCCCGGCUGGCUCAGUCAGUAGAGCGCACGACUCUUGAUCUCGGGGUCGUGAGUUCGAGCUCCAUGUUGGGCA